CUGCGAUUGACUAAAUAUGUCUCUGUCGCUUUAAUAGGCGAAUUUUACUCCCGAUCCGCCUCUUCCAUUUAAGGGCACGUUUACUUUUCUCGGCCGAGAAUUAAGUGUUCCUGGUUUCAUAGUAGUCUACCUUCCCCUUUAAAUGGAUUCUGGACCAAUGCAAAAGUUGUGGUCAUAGGAUCAAAACAACGAACACGAUUUUUUGAGGAAGGUUCAGCUAGGAGCAAAUCCUUGUGAUUUCGCAGCGUUUGAGCCCAUCAGUAAACUUGGAAGCACUCUGUGGAGCUGCUCUGACUCGUCUGCCGGUGUUAAAGCAGGAUAAGCGGCUGUGGAAUGGCAUUGCUGACCUUGCACAGAACCCCAUCUGUUUCCACGACACCGGUAUUGGACAAUGCCAAGUAAUCGUUCUCUGUCUCUGUUGGUUGAUUGGUAGGCUUUGUAUUUAUUAUAUAACACAAGAUUCUUUUUUCACCCAUGCAAACUGUGUAUCUUCUAUAAAACACCAUGUUCAGACUAUUUUGAGUAAAGUCUCACUAGAGCUUUAACCUAAA
rnacentral:lncRNA from 1 species